AUCAUCUCCCACUCCCUCCAGUGACCUGCUCAUCCAGCAGUGUGGAACACCAGGUCUGGGAGUUGCUUCUGCCCAAGAUCCUUCUGCCCCAGGAGAGUGAAGAUUCUGCUCAAAACACCUAUUUUUCCCAACAAUACCUGUGGGAAUUUCUGCAGGCUGGCUGAAAAUUGCAGGAUUGCAGAGAUACUGCCCUGCCCUGUUGCUUCUUCUCUCCCUGAAAUCCUCAGUGACUUCAGCAGUUCAGGGCUGGCCCAGAAACUCCAGCAUCUCUGGGAUCCUUCAGGAUGAAAGGCUCUCCACGUGGGUGUCAUUCCCAGCGGGUUCCCAUGGGAUUCACAAGCAGAAAACCAGCAGCUGGAAGAUUCCCCCUCAUCCCUGGAAUGGAAGGAUCACUUCUUCCCGUGGAGCAGAGGUGAAUAUUCCUUACCAAACAAAUGUAGUUCGUCAAACAAAACCCCCCAAAUAUUGUCUUUUGUUAACUAAAAAGCGUCGAAAACCACUUCUGUGCUCAACAAUGAUGAGCUAAAAAGAUCUGAAGAGGUUGGGAAAUGAACAAUUUCAAUGCUUUCUCAUCCUUUUACAUGAAGCCAAUCUAAAAA